AACCUCCGCAAUGUGAGAAAUCGCGACGGGGGGAUCCCAAGUGCCAUUCUUAACGGGAUGGCUUUUCAUUAGUGUAAAGAGCUUUUGGAAUAAGGGCUGGGCAAGACCGGUGCCAGCCGCCGCGGUAACACCGGCAGCUCUAGUGGUAACAAUUUUUAUUGGGCCUAAAGCGUCCGUAGCCGGUUUAAUAAGUCUCUGGUGAAAUCCUGUAGCUUAACUGUGGGAAUUGCUGGAGAUACUAUUAGACUUGAGACCGGGAGAGGUUAGAGGUACUCCCAGGGUAGAGGUGAAAUUCUGUAAUCCUGGGAGGACCGCCUGUUGCGAAGGCGUCUAACUGGAACGGUUCUGACGGUGAGGGACGAAAGUUAGGGGUGCGAACCGGAUUAGAUACCCGGGUAGUCCUAACUGUAAACGAUGCGGACUUGGUGUUGGGGUGGCUUUGAGCUGCUCCAGUGCUGAAGGGAAGCUGUUAAGUCCGCCGCCUGGGAAGUACGGUCGCAAGACUGAAACUUAAAGGAAUU
rnacentral:rRNA from 1 species